rnacentral:tRNA from 2 species
GGACUCUUAGCUCAGUUGGUAGAGCGACCCCUUGACGUGGGGUAGGUCAGAGGUUCAAGUCCUCUAGAGUCCACCA